AAAACCGAAACCGACACGGCCGCCUUCCUAAUCGCGGCUCUGCUGUUUGUGGGGCGUGCUAGAAACGUGGUCCUAAAAAGAAUGGCGUCCAUUUACAUAAUGCUUUGUUUGCGUUUCACAAGUUUCGGUUAAAGCCACAGAAACCCCACCUCCUGCCCUUGUGUCGUUUCCACCGCGGCACCCUUGUCCGACAUUAGAAACAAUAGUGUGCGCCUGUGGAGGCCUCUUUUGUUCAGGGGGUGCCGACCGGGGCUUCAGGGCAUUUCAUUCUGCGGCUAUUCCCGCGCGGCCUGGGCUCACAGUUGGCUUUUAGGCUCAUGGGCGCAGCCACCGCGCCCCGCUCUCCAGGAGCGGCCCCACCACGGCCCGCCAUCUUGGAAGGCCUUUGCUGCCGGUUGCUCCCGCUGAGGAAGUGUCGCUCGAGACGCUGGCCUAUGAGUUGUGAUUUCUGCCCUUUCCCCUUGGCCUAAGCCAGACCAGAAAAGGCCCCGUGCGCAACGUGCUUCAGAAUUCCUCAGGGAAAGCGGCCAACGUAGCGCUACUCCGCCUCCCCCGUUCCUUCCCGCGGGGCAGCCGCCAUAUUUCUUGUAGACAAAAUGGCUACACGUGGCUAGCAUUUGUCGCCAACGAGAAAUUGGGGUCCGCCUGAAAGCGCUAGAAUGCACCCCUUUUCCUCCCCCGGGCCUUCCCUGCUCCACGAGUCUUAUGACCCCUUUGGGAUUUAAAAAAAAACCGCAGGCUGGUCUGAAGCUCUGAGGCCUAAUUUUAACGCGUUUUCUUCCCUUUAAUUUGAAACGGAAACGCGAAUAACUGUAAAAUAGGAAGACACUUAAAGAUGAAGUGCCUAAUUCAAGGUCACACAGUGUCGGGAAUGGACCUCCAGAUUUCCUUACUGGUACUUAUCCUGGAUUACAUGAGGGAAAUUAAAUAAAAAUACUACAACCCUACUCCGAGCUACUCAGUGAGGUGGUAGCUAGGUGACAACCCAGAGGCUCUAAGACGGGGUCCCCAGCCCGUCUGUGGCCCAACAGGAACAGGUUGCACAGCAGGAGGGUCUCGCUCUGUGACCCAUGCUGGAAUGCAGUGGCAUGAUCUGGAUUCACUGUAACCUUAACCUCCUGGGCUCAAGUGAUCCUCUUACCUCAGCCUCUCAGGUGAGACAUGGUCUUGUAACACAGUGGUCAAGAAUGUGACUUUGGAGCCAGCCUGCUGGGGGCCGAAUUCUGACUCAGCCAUUUGCUAACUGUGUGACCUUGGGAUCAGGCUGCUGAGAGUCCCUGGAACAAUUGAGGAGGCUCACAGAGGGACAUGGAUGAAUCUGGAGAACGUCAUCCUCAGCCAUUUGUGAUUUUUAGCCCUGCUGGAAAUUACACUCUCUACAAUGGUAAAGCAAACUGGGGGGUGCUGGUUCUGGCUCCAGAGGGACUAGGGCCUGUCACCUGGCCCUGCCUGUGUUUCCUGGUGAGUAGUCCUGGACACCUUUUUACCCUUAGCAUACCAACUCUAAGCCCAUAAUUCUGCCUGGCUAAGGAUUACAGACUACCUUCUUCAGAGGGUCUGUGGGGGCAGGAACGUCUGUGCUUUGGAAGAAGCUCCUGACGGCAACUGCCACAUCCUGCCUUGGGAGAAUUGUUGGUCUCAUAUAGAUGAUCUAACAGUUAUAUUGGAGGUGUCUGUGGGCAGUGGUAUUCACAUCACAAAAGGAUUUCCCAGCAGGUUCUUUAAGCAUUAGACCUGCUUUUCAAAAUAUAAUCUGAUUUUCUUUUUUUUUUAGAUGAAGUCUCCGUCUGUUGCUCAGGGCUCGAGUGCCGUUGUGUAAUCUUGGCUGACUGUAACCUCCAUCUCCUAGGUUCAAGUGAUUCUCCUACUUCAGCCUCUCGAGUAGCUGGGACUACUCAAUACAAGCCUGAAAUAAUAAAAUAGCAACUAGGACAAGGUCUUAUUCUGUCAUCAUGCUGGAGUGCAGUAGUGUGAUCAUGGCUCACUGUGGCUUUGACCUCCUGGGCUCACGUAAUCCUCUCACCUCAGCCUCCUGAGUAGCUGGGACCACAGGGCCACACAUAACAAAUAGAAGCCACGCAAACCCUGGAGCUCCUGAUGACAGAAACAUCUUGCCAGUGAGAGGACCACAAGAAAUAGAUUCAAGGAGCAUUCCACGUGCAAGUGAGUCUUGGCCCCAUCUGCCUUUGGAUUUUGGCUAUGAACUGGAAGGUACUGGAAGCAGGACUCUUAUAAAUAGCUAAAUCAAAAUCCCCGCAUUUGAACCAAGUGCUUUAUUUCUCUGUGGACCUCAAGCUCUGCUGACAUCUGUGGAGCACCCUGUCCUAACAGGAGCGACUGUCUGAUUUCCCAACACUGCAAAGGGAAAGAAAUAGCCUGGAAGGGUGGCUGGCGGAAGGUGGUUUUUAGAGAGAGACUUGCAGAUAACAGGAAAGUGAAGGCUAUAAGGAAGGCUGUAAUUAAACAGCACAUGGAAACACAGUCACAUUAUUUUCCCAUUCCAUGGGAUAAUGAUGACCACCUCAGUGGAAAAAGGAGAGAUUUUAAGGCAUUAGGGACUAUGGGCCACCUUUUAGCAAGAUUUCUCUUCAAAGUGGUUAAAACAGUGUUUUGGCAAUUCAAGUUUCAUUUUCAGACAAAGUAAUUCAUGGGAACCUCAGUGACUGUGGAUGAAUAAGAUGCUGUUGAACGGCUCUGACUCGGGCCAGCCAUGCUUCUCUAGGGACCUUGGAGACUGAGGCCACUGUGAUCUCAGGUUCAGGGGGCAAGUCCUCUCCACACAGCCCUAGCUGGCCUCACAGCUGAACAUGGCUCCCUUACUAUUGGACUCCUUUGUUCACCCACGUGAGUUUGUGAAUAAAUCCUUUCCAGUUUGAAAGCUUGCUGACACUUUGAGACAGGUGUGGAGAGAGGACUCUGAGCUGAACACUCCCUGGGGACGGCAGGCCUGGUGAGAUGGCCUAAAUUGCCAGAAGAUAGGGCACAGCAACUCAGAUUUGGGCUAGGGGUGCAGUUUGGGGAGCCGUAGUGGGCGGGUAGGCAGGUGUGAGCUUGAGGACAAAUUCUGCCCUCUUCACUGCAUGGCCCGAGCCAGGGCAGCUCACUUGCUGAGGCAGGGCAGGCCUCUGUUUAUUAGCUUGACUCCUCCCUGCUCCCUGGUCCCCAGAUCUGCUUCUGUGAAUCACCCUGGGUGGCUGCAGGGGUGCUUUAAUCAGUGAGGGGAUCUCAAAGAAAAGCCAGGUAUUUCAUAGACAAAGAUGACUUAUUCCUCACCAUCUGAGAAAGCAAGGGUCUAGUAGAAGGCAGUGGGGCCUGGGGCUCUGUCAUGUCACCAGGAGGUCUCUGUCUUGACAAUUGCUUACUACAUUAUGCACGUGUGGUGCACUGCACAUUCUGUUGUGGACAUUUGCAAAUGGAAUUUACUUACAAAAUGAUGAAACCAUUUCUCCCAAAGUGGGGAGGAUAACUCGAAAUCACAAUAACAACCUAAAAUAACAAUAUCAAGAUUCUAGGAAAAGAUUUUAGACAAGCCACUCUCUGACAUGUCCCAAGGCCAGAAUGGAGUGGGGCUUGAUCGCAGUGAUGGUCUCAACAAGCUGCCUAAAGAAAUUCUUAUUUCAGUGGGAUUAGAAUAAUGUGAGGGGUAAAGGAACACCUGCCAGGCAUAAGCAUUCCACCUAGUGGAAAUUAGAGUCUGCUGAUGAAAUCACAAAUGAUUUUAACAGGGAGGAAGGGGGUGGGCAGCACCCAAGGACAGACGAGUGUAGAUUUUCAGUAAACCUGCUGGGUUUUCACACUGCCUAAUGCCUUGGCUGUGAUACACCACGAGUAUGUCAGAAUGCCCAGAGACACCAAAGUCUAGAAUUAGCAGCUAUUGUAAAGGAGUCCUGGUCAGCACCAAAGUUGUUUGUUUGCUUCCUUAUUGGUCUGUUUGGAGCAAGAGGAUGGACAAGGAAGCAACCCCCUCGGCUAGGGGAGGAUGCAGAGUGGAAUGAAAAAGUGCCCAAUUCCCAUUUUGUUUCCAACUCUACCUCCCUUGAGAAUAGUCCUCAAACUGGAAGGAAAAAAAAAAAAGUGGAACAAAGAUCAUUGAGAGUAAAAUGAAGCCCCCAACAAUAGAGGAAAUGUAAAAUAGAGCUCCCUCAACUCCGUCCUAGAAAAUAACCCACUUGUCACAAUCCCCACAGGUGGUCACGUUCCCCACAGCUGGUCAUCCAGGUUGGCCAGAGCCCCCAAAGCAGCGCUUCUGGGGAAAGAUGGCCUGACCAGAGACAAAUCCAUUUAUUAAUAGUCCUAGAUUUCAACACAGAGAAGAGAAACUGAAGCCUACCUUGUUCAGCAAUGUAUUUGGUUUUGUUGUUGCCGUGUUGUUGUUAUUUUUGAAACAGAGUCUCACUCUGUCGCCAGGCUGGAGUACAGUGGCAUGAUCUCGACUUACUGCAACCUCCACCUCCUGGGUUCAAACAGUUCUCCUGCCUCAGCCUCCUGAGUAGCUGGGACUACAGGCUCACGCCACCACGCCCAGCUAAUUUAUGUAUUUUUAGUAGAGACAGAGUUUCACCAUUUCGGCCAGGAUGGUCUUGAUCUCUUGACCUCGUGAUCCGACUGCCUUGGCCUCCCAAAGUGCUGGGGUUACAGAUGUGAGCCACCGCGCCUGGCCUGUUUUUUAAAUAAAGUACCUGAAAAGAGGAUUCUCUGGGCUGCAGGUGACCCAGACCCUAAAGGGACAAUAAAUGACUUUGAGGUAAAAAAGUCAUGACUCAAAAUAGUCUUGUCAGGAUAGAAAAAAGAAGACAUUUUACAAGAGAAAAUGUAACAUUUUAUAUUUGGGUUUAUUAAAAUGAUUCAUUCAAAUACAUAGUGGAGGAGCCUGGGGACCCAAGGGGACUGGUUUCCUAUGGGCUCCAUGUGGACCAAGAGUGUGAGGUUUGGGAGAGCCCCCCACACAUGGGAGGCAAGGACCUAGCACAGGGAGGGGCCACAGUCCUCCAUUCCCACUCCUCAGGCCAUGUGCCCUUGUGUAGGGUGCAGCUCCUGGAUCCCAACCAAGUAGGAACCGCCCAGGCAGGUCACCAGCACAGAGGGGGCCUGACGGCAGAGCAGUGGUGAUGAGACAGGGGCUGUCAGCCAAAGGAGAGGUGAAUUUAGGUAGCUGAAGAGUCACCAAGGGUGAGAGUGGGACCAUUCUUUACAUCCAGCGGGCCACAUUAGAGGAGGCUGGCUGGGGUCCUGUCAGAUGGAUACCAGUGUGGUGGGAAGUUCCCCGCCAAUGGAGGGUCCGCACAGUCUCAGGACAGCCUCUCUGCCAGGGUACACUUCAGAAUGGAUCUUUGAGGCUUUGUAGGAAGGUGGCCUGAGGAAUUCUAAAGUCUCUUCCCAAGAUGUUGAUGGUUGCCAUAGAUGAGGAGUCAGUAGGAGAGGAAGUGCCCUUUUCCAGGCAGGUGGGAGGAGUGGUUAAAAGGGAGGCCAGGUGCAGUGGUUCACACCUGUAAUCUCUGCACUUUGGAAGGCCAAGGUAGGGAGAUGGCUUGAGUCUAGGAGUUUGAGACCAGCCUGGGCAACAUAGUAAGACCUCAUCUUUACAAAACAUGUUUUUAAAAAAUUAGCCAAGUGUAGCAGGAGGCUCAGGUGGGAGGAUCGAAUGAGCCCUGGAGGUCAAGGCUUCAGUGAGCUGAUCUCGCACCACUGCACUCCAGCCUGGGCCACAGAGUGAGACCUGUUUCUAAAUAAAUAAACAGGCCGGGUGUGGUGGCUCUACACUUUCAGAGGCUGAGGUGGGCGGGUCAUUUGAGGUCAGGCAUUUGAGACCCCCCUGGCCAACAUGGUAAAACGCUGUCUCUAAUAAAAAUACGAAAAUUAGCCAGGCUAAUUUUUUUCUUUUUAUUUUUUCUUCUAUUUUAUUUUUGAGACGGAGUUUCGCUCUUGUUACCCAGGCUGGAGUGCAAUGGCAUGAUCUCGGCUCACUGCAACCUCCGCCUCCUGGGUUCAGGCAAUUCUCCUGUCUCAGCCUCCCGAGUAGCUGGGAUUACAGGCACGCGCCACCGUGCCCAGCUGAUUUUUUGUAUUUUUAGUAGAGACAGGGUUUCACCAUGUUGACCAGGAUGGUCUCGAUCUCUUGACCUCGUGAUCCACCCGCCUCGCCUCCCAAAACGCUGGGACUACAGGCGUGAGCCACCGUGCCCGGCCGCUAAUUUAUUAAAUAAGGUGGCGGGGGGACUGUAAUCCCGUCUACUCAAGAGGGUGAGGCAUGAGAAUCUCUGGAACCCUGGAGGCAGAGGUUGCAAUGAGCAGAGAUUGUGCCAUUGCACUCCAGCCUGGACAAUAGAGCAAGACUUCGUUUCAAAAAAUAAAAUAAAAUAAAAUAAAAUAAAAAUAAAUAAACAAAAAUAAAAAGGGCAAACCAAGGCACUGGGGUUCAAGCCCUGCCUCUGUCACUUUGUGUGACCUUUGGCAAGGUACUUAAGCUCGCUGUGCCUCAGUGCCUUCAUUAAAAAUGAGGAUCAUGGCAACUGGACACACCUGUGAGGAUUUCCAUGAGGGUUAUCAGAGUUAAAUGAAGGCUCUUAGCACUGCGGCCACACCCAUGGCAAAGGCCACGUGCUGGAUAGCUGCUGCAACAGUCAUUGUCACCAUCAUCAUCUUCACCGCUGAUUCAACACGCAGUUACUGAACCUGUCUAUGUGCCAGGGGAGUAGAGACCAGUAGGGUGGGUCCCCGCCUUCAAGAAGUCACAGCCCAGUUUAGAAGGCACAGGAUUGUCACAUGAAGAGAUAGGUGAGGGGCAGAGCAGGGUGUGGUCACAUCACCUGGGUGGGGCCCAGGAAGGCUCCUGGGGGAGGCGGGCCAGGGCUUCUGAAACCAUGACGUGGCUCAGAAGCAUUUCAGUGUCUUGUUUUCCCGUGCUCAUCAGGCUGUUUAUUCUGGGGGCGGCUGUGCAUGCGGUGCCCCCUCCACGCCCCAAGUGAGCAUCAGGACUGGCAGGGCUGGCUAGGCAGGUCCAAAGGCUCAGGGACCCGCCCCACGGCCUCCUGGGCACAGCUGGGGCCCACAGUCCUCCAUUCCUGGGCCUUAGGGCCUGAACACUGAGGCCCUCUGUGUGUGUGUACCCUCUCUGUGCCCAGCACCAUGCUGUGCUGUGCUGUGCUGUGCUGUGGUGUCGUGUCUGAUCCUGGGAGAUAGGAGGUGUUAGGGUCAUUCUCAUUUUACAGCUAAGAAAAUAGGCUGGGACAUUAAGUGUCUUAUAAAAGUCCCAGCCAGGUCUUGGAACCAAGGUUUCUAAUGCCAAAAUCAGGUAUACCCACCCUGGGCAACACCAGAGGUGACUCAACCAAGAACCCUGCCCUCUGGGAGGAGAUGGAAUCAGAAUGUGAUAACUGACCCUCCAGCCCAGAGGAAGGGUGGAGGGGCUGUGAGAGCCCUGUCCUCUGGGUCCUAUCCCCUGCCCAUGCAGCAUCUUGCAAAGUGGCCCCUGCCUGCUCACUCUUCACGGAAGCAUCUCCCAGUCCGUGCUCGGUUUAGAGACGGAAGGUAGUGGUUUAGAAAAAAAAGUUCUUUAGUAGUGGCGGCCCUUUUUUCAAAUAAAAUUUCAUCAGAACACACU